rnacentral:tRNA from 1 species
GCUCAGCUGGUAGAGCAAACGACUGAAAAUCGUUGGGUCGCCGGUUCAAGUCCGGC